UAUGCUGUAAGCUAGCCACUAGAGGGCAGCGGUGCACACGCACACUAGCUGGUGCUCUAAAAUGUUCACCUCUGCCUCCCUUCAUGAGUAUGGUUGAUUGACCGGAGACCUGUUAAAUACUAGCCAAGACGAGGGUAGCCCUGGCUUCUGAGCGUCUGUUGGCAGCAAUGUCACAAACCUGCCUAGUGUCAGAGGAAAUGAAAGUGAUUGAGCGGUGAAAUGUACUUCCCACCUCUGAGCACCUGCAGAGAGGAGGAAAUCAAACAUGAGCGUGUCAGAGCUGUGUGGGGGCUGCAGAAGCAGUGAAUUCAAGCUGUGUUAAAGGAGAGCAGUGCUCCAAGUUUUAGGACUGGAAAGGAAGUCGGCCCUUGAAAUUUGCUUCUGUUGUUCCAGCUUGAGAUGGGCCCCCAAGAUGCUGUACAAAUAGGAUUUCCUUCUGCUGCCAGUUUUCAGAAACUGGGCCAAAUUCUGUACAAGCCCCUUGGAUUCUAUGAUUCUGUGCGAUUGAAGAGGGGACAAGAGAGGACAGAACAUGGGCCAAAGUUUGGGGCAUCAUGUCCGUGUUCUCCACAUGAUAUUCUGAAGGAAAGAGACAUUUGUCUCUCACAAAAGUGACUCUUGCAUGACAAACUUUCCAGUGCAAUGGAGUGAAACCUAGGUAAUAAUUAGGCAGUGUCACAGGGUAUGGUUGUUUCCUACAGGAACACUAUGUCAUCUUGUGUUCCAGGGGAUUGUCUGGUUUCCUCUGGUGCAUUGCAAAGGGCAUUUCUGCAGCUGCAUUUAUAUCCCUGCCGUAUUCACUGUUGUAUGCAGUGUUGUUGUAGC